rnacentral:rRNA from 1 species
UUCGCAAUGCCCGAAAGGGUGACGAAGCGACGCCGCGUGCGGGAAGAAGGCCUUCGGGUUGUAAACCGCUGUCGGGAGUUAAGAAAUGCAAGGGUGUUAACAGCAUCCUUGCUUGACUAAGGCUCCGGAGGAAGCCACGGCUAACUCUGUGCCAGCAGCCGCGGUAAUACAGAGGCGGCAAGCGUUGUUCGGAAUUAUUGGGCGUAAAGAGCACGUAGGCGGUUGUGUAAGUCGGUUGUGAAAGCCUUCCGCUCAACGGGAGAACGGCAUCCGAUACUGCAUGGCUUGAGUGCGGGAGGGGAGAGUGGAACUUCUGGUGGAGCGGUGAGAUGCGUAGAUAUCAGAAGGAACACCGGCGGCGAAGGCGACUCUCUGGCCCGUAACUGACGCUGAGUGUGCGAAAGCUAGGGGAGCAAACGGGAUUAGAUACCCCGGUAGUCCUAGCCGUAAACGAUGGGCACUAAGUAGAGGGGUUUU